rnacentral:sRNA from 1 species
GCAACAGACUCCAAUCACGUGGAGAAGCUCUUUGACGCGGCUGCUUUGUGAGGCUAACAAUUACAAAAGUAAAUCGACUCACGGAAAUAUUAGUUACCGAUUUUAUUUGAAAAUUAAAAAUGUAAAAGGAAAAGAGUACAGGGAUAUCUUCUACGGCGUGGCAAUUUACAAAAAUCAGAAAGGGAAAAAUAAUAAAAUAAAAAUAAAAAAUGUAGAAACAACAUCAAAGCGUGGGAAACAAAAAAAAAACGUUGAGAAGAUGGAGGAAAAAAUGGGGGUGAGAGAAUAAUGAUACUUGAAGGUAUAACUAAAAAACAGAGUUCUGAAUGUUACGGCAAUAAGUAGAAAUAAUAGUAGAAAAGGACAAAGGUCAAAGAAUCAGG